CCUACGGGAGGCAGCAGUGGGGAAUCUUCCGCAAUGGGCGAAAGCCUGACGGAGCAACGCCGCGUGAUCGAAUGAAGGCCUUCGGGUUGUAAAGAUCUGUUGACAGGGACGAAUAAGCAAUUCGAAUAGUUUAGUGUAUGACGGUACCUAUUUAGAAAGCUACGGCUAACUACGUGCCCGCAGCCGCGGUAAUACGUAGGGAGCAAGCGUUGUCCGGAAUUACUGGGCGUAAAGGGCGCGUAGGUGGGCGCUAAAGUCAGGUGUGAAAACCCCGGGCUCAACCUGGGAAGUGCAUUUGAAACUGGGUGUCUUGAGUGCAGGAGAGGUAAGUGGAAUUCCUAGUGUAGCGGUGAAAUGCGUAGAUAUUAGGAGGAACACCAGUGGCGAAGGCGACUUUCUGGACUGUACCUGACGCUGAGGCGCGAAAGCGUGGGUAGCGAACGGGAUUAGAUACCCUGGUAGUC
rnacentral:rRNA from 1 species